rnacentral:rRNA from 1 species
UACGUAGGGAGCAAGCGUUGUCCGGAUUUACUGGGUGUAAAGGGUGCGCAGGCGGGUUAGUAAGUCAGGGGUGAAAUCUCACGGCUUAACCGUGAAAUUGCCUUUGAUACUGCUAAUCUUGAGUUCGGGAGAGGUUGAUGGAAUUCCAGGUGUAGCGGUGGAAUGCGUAGAUAUCUGGAAGAACACCAGUAGCGAAGGCGGUCAACUGGCCCGUAACUGACGCUCAGGCACGAAAGCGUGGGGAGCGAACAGG